rnacentral:lncRNA from 1 species
UCACCACUUGGUAUUGAUGCCAUGGGAAAAGAGUAGUUGGUUACUUGAUUUUUUAGACUUGGGGUGGCAUUGAAAAAGAUUGUUGAAAAGGAAUCGAGUGAAUCAAAUCGAAUUAGUUUGUCUUUCUGUACAAUACAUCCCCCAUUAUCUAGCUUAUUCAGUCUUGAGAAUUAUUAUCUGAUUUUGAUCCCCCAUUUAAACUUUUUGCCAAGACUAUCCUAGAAAUUGAUUUGUUUAUCAUUGCUUCUUGGUCCUUACGGUCUUUUAUGAAUCACAAUCAAUUUAAUCAUACAUAAAAAUACGGGUACAAGCUGGUUAGCUUACACGCUUCCUAUAUAAGAAAGGUACGGGAAUCAGAUUCAAAAUAUCCAUCCAUUCAUAAUUUAAAAAAAAAAAAAAAAAACUCCGGAAUUGAACUGAACGAGUUUCAGACAUGGCAUCGAAAUCCAAGAUUCUAUCCAUCGGCGGGACAGGGUAUAUCGGUAAAUUCAUCGUGGAAGCAAGCGUUAAAGCUGGUCACCAGACACCAGACGUUCGUGCUCGUGAGAGAAUCCACACUCUCUGAUCCCUCCAAAUCUCAACUCCUCGACCACUUCAAAAACCUCGGCGUCAAUUUCGUUAUCGUGAGUUAUCAUUUUUUUAUUUUUUUAAUUCCAUUAUUUUGACCCGUGGCAGUGUAGUAUCUACUUGAAAGACUUAGUAUUUUUAUUUUAUUUUAUUUUAUUGGGUGCCGUUAUUAUUAUGCAGGGAGAUGUUUUGAAUCAGGAGAGUUUGGUUAAGGCGAUAAAACAAGUGGACGUGGUGAUAUCAACAGUUGGUCACACUUUAAUAGCCGAUCAGGUCAAGAUUAUUGCUGCCAUUAAAGAAGCCGGCAACGUUAAGGUAUGACAUAAUUAUAAAUAUCUUGGAUCAGGAUUGUGCACUUGCGCACACGUGGUGAUUUAUUAUUGGCGUGGAGCUCGUUGUAGACUAGAGCUCCCUGUUCCGCCAAUAAACACCCGCUACAUGCACAAUUGCGCCCUCAAGAUAAUUUAAUUAACUAAUUAAUUAUAAACACCUAUGGCGUGAAUGCAACUAAAAGUAGCUGAUGUUUGUAAAUUAUUUAUUAUUCAGAGAUUCUUCCCGUCGGAAUUUGGGAUUGAUGAUGAUCGAAUCCAGGGCGCCGUAGAGCCAGCAAAAUCAACGUAUGUCGUAAAGGCGAAAAUCCGCCGAGCCGUUGAGGCAGAAGGCAUUCCGUAUACUUAUGUAGCAUCGUACUGUUUGAAUGGCCACUUCCUUCCCAAUUUGUCGCAGCCUGAGGCCACUGCCCCCCCUAGGGAUAAGGUCGUCAUCUUAGGUGAUGGAAAUCCAAAAGGUAAAAUAAAUUAAUUAAGCUCAUUGUUUUUAAUAAGAUUGUUGAAAAUAACCAUGUUUAAGGCUCCGUUUGUUUGGUAUAUGUUGCGAUGUUAGUGUUAUGGCCUAUUGUAGAAUGGAUGGUCUAGCAACUUAGUGUCUAUUUGGUACUGUUGUUGGAGAUUUUAAGAUAGAGUUUUAAGUGAUUACCAGAUACUGAACUGCCAUAUCAUGGCUGCCACACAACAAUUUCAAACAGAGCCUAAAUAACUUCAUUGCAAAAUAGUUAAAUGAAUCUAACUUAGUUUGGUCAUUUGAUUUUCAGCUGUUUAUAACAAGGAAGAUGAUGUUGCAACCUUCACAAUCAAAGCGGUUGACGAUCCGAGAACCUUGAACAAAAACCUUUACAUUCAGCCUCCCGGCAAUAUUUAUUCGUUCAAUGAUCUUGUGUCUCUGUGGGAGAGAAAGAUUGGCAAAACCCUCGAAAGGGAGUAUGUUUCAGAAGAGCAGCUCCUAAAGAAUAUUCAAGGCUAGU